UUUGUGUUAUAUAUUAAAUUAAUUUAAAUCUUAUUUAAUUUCCUAUCUUUUGAUCUUAAAUUAGCCCAUAUUCAUUUAAACUAAAUAUUUUUCUUAUUUCCUGAUCCAAAUCCGACUUUCUUUAUUUAAUAAUUUCUAACAAGCGCUCUAAAAUUUGCUGAGUCUGUAAUUCUAAGGCUACAAGCGAAGGGAUAAAAAUCCGUAAUGCCCCCGCAUCCCUUUCAAAGAUACCUAAGAUUCCCGUUUUUCAAUCGGCAAGUGUCAAAGAAAUCCCCAUAAGAAUCUCUUGGUAAAAGUAUUAAGAGAAAAAUUUCACUGACGUUUUCUUUUGUGUCCCGAAAUAAACAAAUGCGUUUCAUUGCUCCUCACUGUGCAUAAACUAUGCUCUGUCGCGGAAAAAUAAAUUAAAUUCACAAUUCAUAUUCUGGAAUAUUUAGAUAUAAACAUCAUUAAGUUUAUUGCUAAAUCAUCGUUAAACCAACAUUUAACUCCUAAUUAAAAAUAUAGUAAACUGAAGUUCAAGAGAAUAAGAAUCAAUCAGUACAUUAAAAAAAACUGUAAAUAAAAAUUUUCAUUUAUUAUUUAAUUCUUUUAAUUAAUGUUAAGUUUCCCCCAUAUCCUCCCCUCCCCCCCCCCAGAAAAAAUUUAAAAAUUCAAUCUUUCUGUCCCAGUAAACACAAUUCCAAAUUUAAAUGAACUCAAAAAAUGAAAAUUGGUAUGUAGUUAUUCCAAAAUGUGGAUUAAUAUCAAAUUUUUAUUAUUUUUUUUUAAAGAUGCACAUUUGUUUAACUGUUCAAGUUCAUAUGAGCAACAUAAGCUAAGUAACAUAACAACAGCUAAGUGUAUAAAAUGUUUUAUUUCUAAAUGGAAAUUUCUUAUUCAUUUCAAUUAAUACUUGUCAGGAACUCUGCCAUCCUGAUUGUUGAGUACUAGACGAUGAUUCAUCAUAUAGAUACCGCUAUGAUUUUUCACGUUCUGUAUUAUUUGAAGUUUAUAUUUGUUCCAUUUUUUUAUUAUUCCAUUUAAUUUUUUUUAUUCCACUUAAUUUUUUAAUAUUAUUUCAUUUAUUUUUUUUUAUUAUUCCAUUUAAUUUUUUAAUAUUAUUUCAUUUAUUUUUUUUAUUAUUCCAUUUAAUUUUUUUUAUUCCAUUUAAUUUUUUUUUAUUAUUCCAUUUAUUUUUUUAUUAUUCUAUUUAAUUUUUUACUAUUCCAUUACAUUUUUUUCACUAUUCUAUUAUUUUUUAAUUAUUCUAUUCUAUUUCUAUUUUUGCCAUUUUCAUGUGUAUCCUCUUAUUUAUUUAUUCAUUUUUCUUAUUUUGUAUAUUUAUUUUUUAUUAUCUAAGGUUUGUUUUUAUUGCUUGUUAUUCCGAAGGAUCUAAAUAUUAGAAAGCCAUCUGCCGGUCCUCGGUUGUGCCAUCUGAUGGUCUACUAUUUUGGGGAAGGGGGUGGGAGUGGGGCUUCCUACUGGAUGGGUUGUUUCGCGGCAAUUCAUCUUUCCCCAUUUGGUAUUGGCUUAGGCGGUGCUGGAUCUGGUACAGUAUGUCACUUUCGCAACUAAAUGCAUUAAAACUACUGUGAGAAGAUAAAAUGCAAAGAAGUGAGUUGUUCCUCCAAUCAAAAGUACACAGAACAUGCAACAUUUUGUGGAUGUUGCCCUGCAUGCCUUAAUAUUAUACAAAAAGGUGAAAGUUGUUUCUCUUUGCUUUUCUUGGGUGUUCCACCAACAUCUACAUUUGACGAAGGAUUGUAUUGUGAUUAUAAAACAGAAACAUGUCAAGAAUUAGAAUAAUUGGCUAUGAGAAAAGAAGAAGGAUUGCAAUUUGCAAUUCACAAUUUUUUUGAUUAAAUUAUGUAUAUGAUUAACUAAUAAAGAUGAUUUAAUAUAAAAAUA